rnacentral:misc_RNA from 1 species
AACGCACCUUGCGCUCCUUGGUAUUCCGAGGAGCAUGCCUGUUUGAGUGUCAUGAAAUUCUCAACUGCCUUGGGUUUGCUCUCAAGGUGAAGUUGGACUUUGGAGGGCUACUGCUGGCGCUUUCGAGUAAAGCUUGUCGGCUCCUCUUGAAUGCAUGAGCUUUUCCAGUGGGGGGACAAAGUGACACCGAUGUGAUAAUUAUCUACGUUGGUCGACCUUUUUGAGUCCCUCUACUCGGAUGGGUCUUACAUCGACACAGAGAUGUGGCGAACUUGACAAAUUCGACCUCAAAUCAGGUAGGACUACCCGCUGAACUUAA